GACGAACGCUGGCGGCGCGCUUAACACAUGCAAGUCGAACGGAAAGGCCUGCUUUCCCUUGUGGAUUGCGGGUACCCGAGUGGCGAACGGGUGAGUACCACGGGAGUGAUCUGCCCCCAACUUGGGUAUAAGCCUGGGAAACUGGGUCUAUUUCCGGUUAGGACUGCAGGGUGGUGCCUGUGGUGGAAAACGAUUUCUAGUGGUUGGGGAUGGGCUCGCGGCCUAUCAGCUUGUUGGUGGGGGAAUGGCCUACCAAGGCGGCGACGGGUAGCCGGCCUGAGAGGGUGGACGGCCACAUUGGGACUGAGAUACGGCCCAGACUCCUACGGGAGGCAGCAGUGGGGAAUAUUGCACAAUGGGCGGAAGCCUGAUGCAGCGACGCCGCGUGGGGGAUGACGGCCUUCGGGUUGUAAACUCCUUUCGACCGCGAGGAAGCCACCUGGUUGGAAGGGUGGUGACGGUAGUGGUAGAAGAAGCACCGGCUAACUACGUG
rnacentral:rRNA from 1 species